ACCACAGCUUCCCAGGCCGCGGGUGCUGAUUGCCCGCCUGCCCGUGGGUCAUGGCCUGCCAGCAGUCGCGGUACCACAGCUUCUCGUCCGCGUCGAGAUUACAGCCACGGCCUUCAGGAGUGACCAUAGACGAAUCCUUUCUCACAGAAGACAAGAGCACCCAGAAUCGCAAGCUUCUUCAGAAACGAAGGACGCUGGAGCUGCCAGCAGCACCCCUUUCGCACUGCCAAGCCCCAGUACUUGGAGGAACUGGAAAACUACCUACGCAAGGAGCUCCUCCUGCUGGACCUGGGCACAGAUUCCACCCAGGAACUAAGGCUGCAGCCUUACAGAGAGAUCUUUGAGUUCUUCAUAGAGGACUUCAAAACGUACAAGCCAUUACUAUCCUCCAUCAAGAAUGCGUAUGAGGGGAUGCUGGCCCACCAAAGGGAGAAGAUUCGGGCUCUGGAGCCCCUGAAGGCCAAGCUUGUCACUGUGAAUGAGGACUGCAAUGAGAGGAUCCUGGCCAUGAGAGCUGAGGAGAAAUAUGAAAUCUCCCUGCUCAAGAAAGAGAAGAUGAACUUGCUAAAACUCAUCGACAAAAAGAAUGAGGAGAAGAUUUCAUUGCAGAGCGAGGUGA
rnacentral:lncRNA from 1 species